UGGCCAGAUAGCUCAGUCGGUAGAGCGUUCGCCUGAAAAGUGAAAGGUCGCCGGUUCGAUCCCGGCUCUGGCCACCC
rnacentral:tRNA from 1 species